rnacentral:snoRNA from 1 species
CCCCUCCAGAUUCCUUGGCCACCAGAUCUAAACAUUGGUUUGAGUGGUUAUAAGAGGAGGAAAAGUUAAAAUGGAAACUGACUUCAGUUCUUUUGUGACACACAGUGCUUACUGCAAAGUCAGCAGUUUGAAACCACC